rnacentral:rRNA from 1 species
AGAGUUUGAUCAUGGCUCAGAUUGAACGCUGGCGGCAGGCCUAACACAUGCAAGUCGAACGGUAACAGGAAACAGCUUGCUGUUUCGCUGACGAGUGGCGGACGGGUGAGUAAUGUCUGGGAAACUGCCUGAUGGAGGGGGAUAACUACUGGAAACGGUAGCUAAUACCGCAUAACGUCGCAAGACCAAAGAGGGGGACCUUCGGGCCUCUUGCCAUCAGAUGUGCCCAGAUGGGAUUAGCUAGUAGGUGGGGUAACGGCUCACCUAGGCGACGAUCCCUAGCUGGUCUGAGAGGAUGACCAGCCACACUGGAACUGAGACACGGUCCAGACUCCUACGGGAGGCAGCAGUGGGGAAUAUUGCACAAUGGGCGCAAGCCUGAUGCAGCCAUGCCGCGUGUAUGAAGAAGGCCUUCGGGUUGUAAAGUACUUUCAGCGGGGAGGAAGGGAGUAAAGUUAAUACCUUUGCUCAUUGACGUUACCCGCAGAAGAAGCACCGGCUAACUCCGUGCCAGCAGCCGCUUAAUACGGAGGGUGCAAGCGUUAAUCGGAAUUACUGGGCGUAAAGCGCACGCAGGCGGUUUGUUAAGUCAGAUGUGAAAUCCCCGGGCUCAACCUGGGAACUGCAUCUGAUACUGGCAAGCUUGAGUCUCGUAGAGGGGGGUAGAAUUCCAGGUGUAGCGGUGAAAUGCGUAGAGAUCUGGAGGAAUACCGGUGGCGAAGGCGGCCCCCUGGACGAAGACUGACGCUCAGGUGCGAAAGCGUGGGGAGCAAACAGGAUUAGGUACCCUGGUAGUCCACGCCGUAAACGAUGUCGACUUGGAGGUUGUGCCCUUGAGGCGUGGCUUCCGGAGCUAACGCGUUAAGUCGACCGCCUGGGGAGUACGGCCGCAAGGUUAAAACUCAAAUGAAUUGACGGGGGCCCGCACAAGCGGUGGAGCAUGUGGUUUAAUUCGAUGCAACGCGAAGAACCUUACCUGGUCUUGACAUCCACGGAAGUUUUCAGAGAUGAGAAUGUGCCUUCGGGAACCGUGAGACAGGUGCUGCAUGGCUGUCGUCAGCUCGUGUUGUGAAAUGUUGGGUUAAGUCCCGCAACGAGCGCAACCCUUAUCCUUUGUUGCCAGCGGUCCGGCCGGGAACUCAAAGGAGACUGCCAGUGAUAAACUGGAGGAAGGUGGGGAUGACGUCAAGUCAUCAUGGCCCUUACGACCAGGGCUACACACGUGCUACAAUGGCGCAUACAAAGAGAAGCGACCUCGCGAGAGCAAGCGGACCUCAUAAAGUGCGUCGUAGUCCGGAUUGGAGUCUGCAACUCGACUCCAUGAAGUCGGAAUCGCUAGUAAUCGUGGAUCAGAAUGCCACGGUGAAUACGUUCCCGGGCCUUGUACACACCGCCCGUCACACCAUGGGAGUGGGUUGCAAAAGAAGUAGGUAGCUUAACCUUCGGGAGGGCGCUUACCACUUUGUGAUUCAUGACUGGGGUGAAGUCU